rnacentral:tRNA from 1 species
CCCCGUGGCUCAGUUGGUAGAGCAUGGUGUGUGCAACGCCAGGGUUGUGGGUUCGAUUCCCAUGGGGG